rnacentral:rRNA from 1 species
CCCCCCCUACGGGAGGCAGCAGUGGGGAAUAUUGCACAAUGGGGGAAACCCUGAUGCAGCGACGCCGCGUGAGUGAAGAAGUAUUUCGGUAUGUAAAGCUCUAUCAGCAGGGAAGAAAAAAGACGGUACCUGACUAAGAAGCCCCGGCUAACUACGUGCCAGCAGCCGCGGUAAUACGUAGGGGGCAAGCGUUAUCCGGAAUUACUGGGUGUAAAGGGAGCGUAGACGGCUGUGCAAGUCUGGAGUGAAAGGCGGGGGCCCAACCCCCGGACCGCUCUGGAAACUGUAUGGCUG